rnacentral:sRNA from 1 species
AAUCGAGCGCCGAGAGAGCGAGUCGGCGCUACUGGCGCCGGGUCGGUCCGGGUAGGCGCAGCGGGACUGGACCUGGGUGCCGAGCGGAGCCGCUGCCAUGGGCCUGGGCGUCAGCGCUGAGCAGCCCGCAGGCGGCGCCGAGGGCUUCCACCUCCACGGGGUGCAGGAGAACUCCCCAGCCCAGCAGGCGGGCCUGGAGCCCUACUUUGACUUCAUCAUCACCAUUGGGCACUCGAGGCUGAACAAGGAGAAUGACACCCUGAAGGCACUACUGAAAGCCAAUGUGGAGAAGCCCGUGAAGCUGGAGGUGUUCAAUAUGAAGACCAUGAGGGUGCGCGAGGUGGAGGUGGUGCCCAGCAACAUGUGGGGCGGCCAGGGCCUACUGGGUGCCAGUGUGCGCUUCUGCAGCUUCCGCAGGGCCAGUGAGCAGGUGUGGCAUGUGCUGGAUGUGGAACCAUCUUCACCUGCUGCCCUUGCCGGCCUGCGCCCCUACACAGACUAUGUGGUUGGUUCGGACCAGAUUCUCCAGGAGUCCGAGGACUUCUUUACGCUCAUCGAGUCUCAUGAGGGGAAGCCCUUGAAGCUGAUGGUGUAUAACUCCAAGUCAGACUCCUGCCGGGAGGUGACUGUAACUCCCAACGCAGCCUGGGGUGGAGAGGGCAGGUACUUCGUGGGGUUGGAGGGCUGCAGGGCCAGGUGGGUGGGGCCUGACCAUUGGGCAUGGACCUCAGAGUUCUAUGGUGGAGAUGGAGGAGGAUUGGGCCCUGGGCCCAGGGAUCCUGAGGCUGACCGGUAUUUCAGAAGUACCCUUUUCAGCCCCCUUAUUGCUGGUAGUAGGUGGGGAUAGCAAAGGUAGGGAGGGCCGUGGGACAAGCCCCUGGAUUGAAUGUUUCUGGCCUUCGGCAGUCUGGGAUGUGGCAUUGGCUAUGGGUAUCUACACCGGAUCCCAACUCAGCCCCCCAGCUACCACAAGAAGCCACCUGGCACCCCACCACCUUCUGCUCUACCACUUGGUGCCCCACCACCUGAUGCUCUACCACCUGGACCCACCCCCGAGGACUCUCCUUCCCUGGAGACAGGUUCCAGGCAGAGUGACUACAUGGAGGCCCUGCUGCAGGCACCUGGCUCCUCCAUGGAGGAUCCCCUUCCUGGGCCUGGGAGUCCCAGCCACAGUGCUCCAGACCCUGAUGGACUUCCCCAUUUCAUGGAGACUCCUCUUCAGCCCCCACCUCCAGUGCAGCGAGUUAUGGACCCAGGCUUCCUGGACGUGUCGGGAAUUUCUCUCUUGGACAACAGCAAUGCCAGUGUGUGGCCCAGCCUGCCCUCUUCCACAGAACUGACCACCACAGCUGUCUCAACCUCAGGGCCAGAGGACAUCUGCUCCAGCAGCAGUUCUCAUGAGCGGGGUGGUGAGGCUACAUGGUCUGGGUCAGAGUUUGAGGUCUCCUUCCUGGACAGCCCAGGUGCCCAAGCCCAGGCGGACCACCUGCCUCAGCUGACUCUUCCUGACAGUCUCACCUCUGCAGCCUCACCAGAAGAUGGGCUGUCCGCCGAGCUGCUUGAAGCUCAGGCUGAGGAGGAACCAGCAAGCACAGAGGGCCUAGAUACUGGGACGGAGGCUGAGGGGCUGGACAGCCAGGCCCAGAUCUCUACCACAGAAUAACACCCUGGGCUGUGACAAGGCCCAUGAUGACAUUUCAUGAGGCCCAGAUGUGGGCAGGCAGCCCGGGCUGCACUAUGCGGUCAGGAUUCCUUGCUGCUUCGGUGGGGCAUGAGGCCUCAGUGGGUGGUGAGAGGGGGCCAUGGGCCUUGUGGGAGGAUAUCUUUUGGCCGUGUACCCUCAGGUCCAGUGCUUGGUCCUGCUCUGGUCACUGGGGCUUCCCAGGAGGCAGCAGGGUCUGGUCAUAAUCCAGUGUAAAGAUGAGGUGAGGAAGGAAGGGGUUGCUGUCCAGUGUUGGCCUGGUCGCUUUGAUUCUUCCUGCACAGCUCAGCCCACCCCAUCUGUACUGGAAGGGACCCUGGAGCCCUGGGACCACCCCCUUUCAAGUCCCAAACACUGAGUCCUCUGUCAUGUGUCCUUGUCCCUAGGCUACAAUGCUACACUUGGCUCAGGCUGAUCACCAUGCUAGUCACAGGAGGGAGAGAGAGGCAGUGUACUUGCCCCCCUCUCCUGGAGGGAGGUGGGUUGGAAAUUCUAGGCCCUUCAGCAGAGACCCAUUUGUGCCCAGACCACAAUAUUUCUUCUUCCUCAGGGACUACAUGCCACAGACCUGUAUCCCCAGUGGCAACUCCUGUUAGCUCCCAAACUUAAACAGUGAUCUCUUCUAAAUAUACAAGGCAUCUACCCAGCCCCAAUAGUGAAUAAAAGUCACAAAUUUAAGUUCAACACCCUAAGCAAUUUCUCAAAGCCAGUCUACCUGACUAGGUCUAUCCACGCACGGUUCCCAACCCCAAGGGGGAAUUAGGGGAAUAGAUUAAGAGUAGGUAAAGACCCUUUUGUUCUUUCCUGUUGUAGGGGAGGAAGCUGUUCUCCCCACCCCAGGUGCCUUUGGAGGUUAAGGCUAGGUUAGGCCCUGCACUCCAUCUGGGGACAGCCCCUCAUCACCUGAAGUCCUCUGCUGUGUUGACUGGACCCUCACUUCCCACACUGCUAAUUACUAUGAAAGCUGCUCUGGCCUCGUCUUCUAGCCUGUGCCUAGUUGAAAGUCUCACCUUUACAGGAUCAUUUGUAAUGCUGGUGUACAUGCAGGGAACUCACAAGCUGUGUCAGGUAUGCAGGACAAGGAAUGUCUGCUCUGGGGGGCACAGGCCAACUAUAUGGAGGGAGGGUCCCAAAUUAGCAAACCCUUCAUUUAAAGCAAACCCUUGUCAAGCCUACCAGAGCAGCUGAUACGUGUGCAUAACAGUGAGGCAUUGUGUCCUGGAUCAUCUGGGAGCCCAGUGUCAAGUCUGCCGGAAUGCAGGAAGUAGAACAGAAUCGCCACAGGACUGUUCUGGGGCCAGCUUCCCUUAACUCUGUAGCCUGGCAGUCUGACCCAAAGUUGCCCUCACUCAAAGGUUCUGGCUCUUCCCUCCCUCACUUUUACUUUCCCUUCCCCCAUAAGUUGGAGGAUAAAAUGGGUAUCCAUGCUAGUAUUUCCAGGGAGAACAUGAAACCAGAGGUUUCUUUCUUUCUCUGUAAUCUGCUAUGAAAGAAAAUAACAAAUGAAAAUAAAUGUGUACUACACUUUGAAAUAUUUU